rnacentral:rRNA from 1 species
GGGGUAGCAAUACCCGCUGGCGACCGGCAAACGGGUGCGGAACACGUACGCAACCUUCCUUUAACUGGAGAAUAGCCCCUCGAAAGAGGGAUUAAUACUCCGUAACAUAUUGAUAAGGCAUCUUAUUAAUAUUAUAGCUCCGGCGGUUAAAGAUGGGCGUGCGCCUGAUUAGAUAGUUGGCGGGGUAACGGCCCACCAAGUCUGCGAUCAGUAACUGGUGUGAGAGCACGACCAGUCACACGGGCACCGAGACACGGGCCCGACUCCUACGGGAGGCAGCAGUAAGGAAUAUUGGUCAAUGGACGCAAGUCUGAACCAGCCAUGCCGCGUGGAGGAUUAAGGCCCUCUGGGUUGUAAACUCCUUUUAUCUGGGAAGAAAUGCAUUUUUUCUAAAGUGCUUGACGGUACCAGAGGAAUAAGCACCGGCUAACUCCGUGCCAGCAGCCGCGGUAAUACGGAGGGUGCAAGCGUUAUCCGGAUUCACCGGGUUUAAAGGGUGCGUAGGCGGGCAGGUAAGUCCGUGGUGAAAUCUCUGAGCUUAACUCAGAAACUGCCAUGGAUACUAUUUGUCUUGAAUAUUGUGGAGGUAAGCGGAAUAUGCCAUGUAGCGGUGAAAUGCUUAGAUAUGACAUAGAACACCAAUUGCGAAGGCAGCUUACUACACAGUUAUUGACGCUGAGGCACGAAAGCGUGGGG